rnacentral:lncRNA from 1 species
AUGUCAUGUCAUGGAGCGAUAUGUAAUUGGAUAUGGGAUCAAUUAGCAAUUGCAUCUGGAUUCAUCUUUUUAAUUCUUCCUUCAUUGCAAUUUGCUGUUGUGUACUUUGCUUUUGGAGCUGCCAGAGGAGAUGGUGCAGGAUGGAUCUGCAUGGCUAUAUUUCAGCAAGCCCUGUGGAUGAUCGCAAUUAUUAUAUUUAUUGCCAGUUGGAAAACAGGAAAUAGGGGGAAAACAACAUCCUUGAAUUCCACAUGUGAAUACAUGCGUUUAGACUUAGAUCUAGCCAUCCUCUUUAAAAAGAUGCUGUAUGUGUUUGGAUCAGUUGGCGUUGUUCUACUGAACUCUGGUUCACUGAUGACUGAACUGAUACUGAAAACAGUAAAUGGCGAGCGUGCAGUGGGAGAUCUGAGAGUCAUCGUCUAUUCCUCUGAGAGCCUCUUUGCCUUUUCUCUGCUCAUUUUACUCAUGUUUGGACCCUGUAAGUACAACUGAAGCGGUUUCUUUGGUUUCAUUACAAAUUCUAACCUGUUUAAUCAAUAUGUUUACGAGAAAACAUGUUAAACUCUUAUUGGAAUUAUCAUGGAACAUAUCUUUCUUGACCAAGCAGUUUAUAGAAGGAAUGUCAAGAGUCUAUAUUCUGAUGAGGAUUCAGUUAUCUCUCACUUUGUGAUGCAUGUUGGUGUUUGAUUAACAGUGUGUUUUUCAGAAUUUAAACACUCUCAGUCAUUGAUUUAAUUCACUGAGAGAUGCUCCGUUUACAUGAAGGAUGAACAGCAAUAACAAACUAAACUGACUAUUACAAAUCAUGCAGUUUAUUCAGUAUAUUUAUUUAACAAUUUCAACUUGAUAAUCAGCAGGAAUGGAUGACCAAAUGAGAAUGACGAGUGAUAAGUGAAAACUGAAUGUCAAAUCCGUUUGUAGUCUUCGCUUGAGACUUUACUUUAAAAUAUCCUCCUCUCACUGCUCUUAACACAGGGAUUUCAGACAUGAAGUGUCUACAGUGUUUUCAG